UAGUCUGGUUCAUGAAGGUUCUUAACUAGUGUGGAGUUUGAUAGCGAAAGGUUGUUGCUUCUCAAGCUAAAAUGCUUCGCAGAUGGCCUAAAUAUACCCAAUAUCACCAACAAACAAUUGCUUAAACAAUUAUGUAUGAAUGGUUAAGAAUGACAGAAGAAAGGGAAAUCAAGCUUAUCUCACAUAAGUGAGCUUCCCGGGUGCUCUAGCGGUCCCUCUGUGCCUCAUACUUUCUCAAUGCUCCACUCUCUUUCGUUUACUCUUCCA
rnacentral:lncRNA from 1 species